GAUGAACGCUAGCGGGAGGCUUAACACAUGCAAGGUCGAGGGGCAGCAUAGGGUAGCAAUACUCUGAUGGCGACCGGCAAACGGGUGAGUAACGCGUAUGCAACCUACCCUGUACAGGGGAUAACCCGGAGAAAUUCGGACUAAUAUCCCGUAAUAAUAUCCGGAGGCAUCUUUGGAUAUUUAAAGUUCCGACGGUACGGGAUGGGCAUGCGUAACAUUAACUGGUUGGUAAGGUAACGGCUUACCAAGGCUAUGAUGUUUAGGGGUCCUGAGAGGGUGGUCCCCCACACUGGUACUGAGACACGGACCAGACUCCUACGGGAGGCAGCAGUGAGGAAUAUUGGUCAAUGGGCGCAAGCCUGAACCAGCCAUCCCGCGUGCAGGAAGACGGCCCUAUGGGUUGUAAACUGCUUUUCCAGGGAGAGAAACUUACGCACGUGUUGCGUGACUGACGGUACCCUGGGAAUAAGCAUCGGCUAACUCCGUGCCAGCAGCGGCGGUAAAACGUAGCGUG
rnacentral:rRNA from 1 species